AGUGAACGCUGGCGGUAGGCCUAACACAUGCAAGUCGAACGGCAGCACAGUAAGAGCUUGCUAUUACGGGUGGCGAGUGGCGGACGGGUGAGGAAUACAUCGCAAUCUACUUUUUCGUGGGGGAUAACGUAGGGAAACUUACGCUAAUACCGCAUACGACCUACUGGUGAAAGCAGGGGAUCUUCGGACCUUGUGCGAUUGAAUGAGCCGAUGUCGGCUUAGCUAGUUGGCGGGGUAAAGGCCCACCACGGCGACGAUCCGUAGCUGGUCUGAGAGGAUGAUCAGCCACACUGGAACUGAGACACGGUCCAGACUCCUACGGUAGGCAGCAGUGGGGAAUAUAAGACAAUGGGCGCAAGCCUGAUCCAGCCAUACCGCGUGGGUGACAGAGUCCUGCGGGUUGUAAAUCUCUUUUGUUGGGAAAGAAAAGCAGCAGGUUAAUACCCCGCUGUUCUGACGGUACCCAAAGAAUAAGCACCGGCUAACUUCGUG
rnacentral:rRNA from 1 species